rnacentral:rRNA from 1 species
UACGUAGGCAGCAAGCGUUGUUCGGAGUUACUGGGCGUAAAGGGUGUGUAGGCGGUUCUUUAAGUUUGCUGUGAAAUCUCCCGGCUUAACCGGGAGGGUGCGGUGAAUACUGAGGGACUAGAGUACGGGAGAGGAAAGUGGAAUUCCUGGUGUAGCGGUGAAAUGCGUAGAGAUGUGGAGGAACACCGAUGGCGAAGGCAGCCUCCUGGGCCGGCACUGACGCUCAUGCACGAAAGCGUGGGGAGCAAACAGG